rnacentral:rRNA from 1 species
CCCUUAGAUGUUCUGGGCCGCACGCGCGCUACACUGACGAAUGCAACGAGCUUAUAACCUUGGCCGAAAGGUCUGGGUAAUCUCCAAAUUUCGUCGUGAUGGGGAUAGAUUAUUGCAAUUAUUAAUCUUCAACGAGGAAUGCCUAGUAAGCGCAAGUCAUCAGCUUGCGUUGAUUACGUCCCUGCCCUUUGUACACACCGCCCGCCGCUCCUACCGAUUGAAUGGUCCGGUGAAGCGCUCGGACCGCGGCCUCUUGACGGUUCGCUGUCGAUUGGCUGUGGGAAGUUCGUUAAACCUUAUCAUUUAGAGGAAGGAGAAGUCGUAACA